rnacentral:rRNA from 1 species
GACGAACGCUGGCGGCGUGCCUAAUACAUGCAAGUAGAACGCUGAAGUAAGAGCUUGCUCUUACGGAUGAGUUGCGAACGGGUGAGUAACACGUGGGGAACCUACCUUCUAGCGGGGGAUAACACAUAGAAAUGUGUGCUAAUACCGCAUAAUAGUAUUUGAUGCAUAUCAGAUAUUUGAAAGGCGCAAUUGCGUCACUAGAAGAUGGCCCCGCGGUGCAUUAGCUAGUUGGUGAGGUAACGGCUCACCAAGGCAAUGAUGCAUAGCCGACCUGAGAGGGUGAUCGGCCGCACUGGGACUGAGACACGGCCCAGACUCCUACGGGAGGCAGCAGUAGGGAAUCUUCGGCAAUGGACGCAAAGUCUGACCGAGCAAACGCCGCGUGAGUGAAGAAAGGUUUUUCGGAUUCGUAAAAACUUCUGUU